rnacentral:lncRNA from 1 species
UCAUGUUUAUUUGUCGUUUAUUAUUUGCUUGUUUUGGUGUGAGUAUAUGCUUGAAACAUUGAGGACAAUGUUUGAUUUAAGUGUGGGGGGGUAACCAUUGUUUUACAUGAAAUUCGUAGAAAAUUAUCACCCAUUACUUCUAGUGUUGUUCCUUGCUGUUUUAAGUAUUUUUAAGCUGUUUUGGAGUGUUUCAGUGUGUUUUGAUAUAAAAAUCCGAAAAUUCAUAAAAAUUUGAAAAAUUGUUUUUGAAAAUCCCAAAAAAAGUUGUUUUUGUGUUCUUAUUUGUGUCUUAGGGUACCUUCCAACACAAUGAUGAGGAUUCAGUUUGUAAUUGCAUGACUGUUAAAGAGAGUUAUAAACAUGGAUGAAAGUUUGAUUUACUCUUUAUUUAUGCGUGAUUGUGGUUAUAACUUAUGAAAUCACAUGUAAUCAUAAAAGAAAAAAAUUAGUUUUUUGUAACAUGCUUGAAGGAAAGAACUCAAACUAACGCUACAAUCUUGUGAGACUUGAGCCUAAAUGUUUAUUUGGAGAGUUAAAAUCUGUGCAUUAUUGUUUUCUAAAGUCGUUGCAUGAUCUCAUUAUUCUUUGCUUGGUUAUUACUUAGAAAGCGUUUCAUCAUUUAGUUCCAAAUGCUAGAACUCAUGCCUAUUUCAUUCAAAGCAUGCUAUUGAUUUGCAUAACACAUAUUCAAGAUGAAGUUGUGUAGUUACCACCACCAAGCCAAAUUGCCAUGUAUCCCAUAUCGUUAUAUGUUUAAGUUAACCUCAUUGAGCCUUGAUAGCCUACAUUCUUUGUUAAACCACAUUAUCCUUACCUAGCCUAGUUUAGGACCAUCCAUAUCCUUGUUCUUGAAGCAUAGUAAAGUAUGAGUCAAAUUGAAUUCCUUUUGAUUAAUGUAUGGCAGAAAACAAGUGUGGGGGAAGUGAUUCUUGUGUGUGUGUAUGCCAAAAUCAUUCAUAAGGCACGAGUAGAAAAGAAAGAUUCGUGAAAAAUAGAAUGAAAAGAAGAAGAGCUGUGAAGAGAAAAGGAGUUGAAAAAUAUGUGAAAAAGAGUUUUAAAGUGUUGCUUGUUGAAGAAAGGGUCCAAAACAUUGAAUUCGCCCCUAAAUAUUGCUUGAAUCUUCCCUU